CUCUUAUCUUCACUAAUCAGAAGCUUAAAAAAAAAAAAAAAUGCAGGGAGCAGGUGGCCAAAGCCAUCCCCUCCAAUCCAUCAGACUAGCAAAAACAUGGGUUAACAGAGUCGUGGGCAGAAACGCUACUUUGUUUUUAAACAAGAGGAGCUGGCCUUUUAACACAGGGCGGGCUGAGGGAGCAGUGGCGCCAAGCAAGACCGGUGUGUGUUCACAGGUCUCGCCCUCAGCGUAACGAGAACCAACCAGUCCCCCUGGCAGAGAAAUGUAAGGCCAGUGACCGACGUGGACCGGAGAACGAGCUGAGGCCUGAGAAACGGAAGCUUCAUACCUCAAGAUUUACCCUCCAACCUCCCGGGACUCAACACCGAUUCCGCGCCCUAGAGGCGGGGCACGGUAGAAAUCGAGAGCGCGGCCCAAAGUUGGGCCUAGGCGAAAAUCCGCAUUCGCCAAACCCAGCUGUGCCCUGAAUCGACACAGGCACCAAAAACCCAGACGCCGGGACCAAUGGGGUCGGCAGUGCGGUAGGGCUGGAUGGGGACACCGCACAAAGGCAGAAACCGCACUGAAGGGAGGGGAAAGCAGAGGGGACUGUUUCAACCUGCACCCAGCACCUUCAUUCAUCCCCAGCGUCUGGCUCCCGUCGGCCACCGUACUGGACUGAGAGGAAGGCUGUCUGCAAAGGAAACCCAGAGACGUCCGCGCUGAUGCAACGGUGCGCGUGCGCGGUCCCACCUCUUCCUUCCCGUCCCCUUAACUGCAUUCCCGAAGAUUUAAAAUGCUGCUUUCGGUUUCUGCUUCCAAAAUCUAUCACUUUUAUCCUUUCCGAUUAAAUCUUUAAGCCCCUCUGACCUGAGUUUCAUCUUCACAGGAUUUUUGUGGCACUUGAAUGACAUAACGAGGAAUAUGAAGAGAAUUCAUGGUUUGGGGGAUCAAUAAUGGGAGAAAGGGGAUGUGAACUAAGUGAUUUUUAAGAUCUCUUCCAACUUUAGGUGUGCCUGGGUGGCUCAGUCAGAAAAGGCUCACCACCCCACAGCUGCCACCUGAGUAUGCACUGGGAAAAUCACAGAAGACUUCAAGUCAUCAGUGUUAACUACCUCCUUCCUUCCUUGAAUCUCCUAGCAGACAUGUAUAUACCUAAAGUUUUUACAUUCUGGAACUGCCCCGUCAUCUAGAACUCAACUUCCCCCAAAUAAAACAUUUUCACAAAACUUUUAAAAAUUCAUUUGUCUUUGUUAUAACCUUUUAAAGCACUUGAGCACUACAUUUUCACUCACAAAACUUGCCAAGUUACCUCUUGAACAGCUUUACAACACACUUAAGUAGACUUAUAAUUUCGCUACUCUAAACAAUG